UACGACGACCCGGACGCCGCCGCCAUCCCGGCGCUCCUCGGCUCCCGCUUCGACGGCGAUUAGGUGGACGCUCAAGCGCCUCCUCGCCCUCAUCUCGCAGGGCUUCUACGUCGCCCACCUCUUCCAGCAGGUCCCGCUAGCGUCCUACUCGUCUAG
rnacentral:rRNA from 1 species